GCAUGGUGGCAUGCACCUGUAGUCUCAGCUACUUGAGAAGCUAAGGUGGGAGGAUCACUUGAGCCUAGGAGUCCUGGACUGUAGUGUGCUUUGCCAUGUGUGUCCACACUAAAUCCAACACCAAUAUGGUGACCUUUAGGGAAGAGGAAACCACUAGGUUGCCUAAGGCAGCAUGAACCAGCGCAGGUCAGAAACUGAGCAAGUCAAAACUCCCAUACUAGUCAGUAGUGGGAUCAUGCCUGUGAGUUGCCGUUGCAUUCCAGCCUGGGCAACAGUGAGAUCUCCUUUCUUA
rnacentral:SRP_RNA from 1 species